GCAACGGUGGUUUAAAAAUACCAACUGACGAUCUUCUGAAAGUGUGUCAGGAAACAGAGAAAUGUGUAAUGAGGAUGGUAAAUUCCUGCCAUGGUGGCUUGCCACAUGCAGCAGCAAACAUAUCGAGUGCAAUUGCUGCGACGGUAUUAUCUGUGUGUGUAGAGAAAAAAGUUUUUAGCAUGUUAGAUGAGCAUGUGUUAGAGUCGACAGUUACAGAUAAUCAUGCUUAUAAACUGAUAAAGUGUUGUGCUGAGGCAUUUGUGAAAAUAAGAAUGCAUCACUUGACCAAAACGCAAAACGAUAAGUUGCAGGGUCAGAAAAUUCGUAAAAAGCUGUCUAAGCUUGUGUUGUUCAAUCAUCAGUAGAUUGAACGUUGCCUGGACACUAUUGUGUUUUCGAGGCUUUGCCUGUGCCUAGAAAUGGAAUUUUUCAUUUGACUAUUCCAUUUUUUUGAGGCUGUAGGCGUCCUGGCACAUAGCAAUAUGUGUUUCGAGGAGAAAUUUAAUGGUGCCUGCACAUUUGUGUUCGAGGCUUAAAAAUGUAACAUGAAAUUAUAACCUAGUUUACGUAACUAAACAAUUAAAAAGAAUGAGAAGUAAUUCGAAAUGCAAGUCUUCUAUGUGAGUAUUCCUCUACAACAUAGUACAAUAUAGAACAACAAUAGCACAAUAUUCAUUUUGAACUAUUUUUUAUAGAGAAAAAAAUACUCAACAAAACAGCCCAAUUGGACGACAUAAGAAAACUAUUUUGUGGUCGUAACAUUGAUAGCACUUUCAAUCAGAUCGAGCGUUGUAGUGACAUUAUGAAUAUUGCCGGGAUGAUCUGCAUGCGGAAGUCCUUGAACAACGUUCAUGAUGCGUAACAUUUUAUCUUUAACAUUUUUUUGUACCUUAUAGUUCAAUGAGUUCACAUUGUUUAUAUAGUUUCUUGACUUGUAAAAAGCCAAUGGUUAAACUUCGAAUAACUUGAAAAAAAAUUUAGAAGAAUUUUACUUGAAUGCAGGGGUGUGACUUGAGUCCCGAGAAUGGAGAGGGGAAACGUUGCAGAAUUUGAUUUGCCCAACAAAAACGUAGUGUAAUUUUUUAUGUUAAUACCAGCAAAAUCGCUUUUUACUUAGUUAUGAGUUGAUCCAAACGUCAUCGUUAAUAUUUGCCGUUUUAAUUUCCGCAAAAUUACAUGCUUUGCUCGACAAAACUGCUAACUUUUUGAAAGGGAGAGGCUGAGCCACCACAUAUCAAUCCCCUCUCCAGGAUUUACACCCCUGUUUCAACGUUACUGAUACAGCAAUUAACGAUUUGUGCACGCUAAAUUUACAUGUAUAUUAUCAUGGGAAUCAUCUCUUACAAACUAUAAAAAACUUUAAAAUUCAA